GGCCUUGGCGUCUCAGCGCGCUCUUCUCGCGCAUGCGUUCGCCGAACGGUCUUCUUCCGACAGCUUGCUGCCCUAGACCAGAGUUGGUGGCUGGACCUCCUGCGACUUCCGAGUUGCGAUGCUGUACUUCUCUUUGUUCUGGGCGGCUCGGCCUCUGCAGAGAUGUGGGCAGCUGGUCAGGAUGGCCAUUCGGGCUCAGCACAGCAACGCAGCCCAGACUCAGACUGGGGAAGCAAACAGGGGCUGGACAGGCCAGGAGAGCCUGUCGGACAGUGAUCCUGAGAUGUGGGAGUUGCUACAGAGGGAGAAGGACAGGCCCUGGGGUCCUGUCUGAACAACAAGUACUCGGAGGGUUAUCCUGGCAAGAGAUACUAUGGGGGAGCAGAGGUGGUGGAUGAAAUUGAGCUGCUGUGCCAGCGCCGGGCCUUGGAAGCCUUUGACCUGGAUCCUGCACAGUGGGGAGUCAAUGUCCAGCCCUACUCCGGGUCCCCAGCCAACCUGGCCGUCUAUACAGCCCUUCUGCAACCUCACGACCGGAUCAUGGGGCUGGACCUGCCCGAUGGGGGCCA
rnacentral:sRNA from 1 species